CCUACGGGAGGCAGCAGUGGGGGAUAUUGCACAAUGGGGGGAACCCUGAUGCAGCGACGCCGCGUGGGUGAAGAAGCGCCUCGGCGCGUAAAGCCCUGUCAGCAGGGAAGAAAAUGACGGUACCUGAAGAAGAAGCCCCGGCGAACAACGUGCCAGCAGCCGCGGUAAUACGUAGGGGGCAAGCGUAAUCCGGAUUGACUGGGGGGAAAGCGGGCGCAGACGGCGAGGCAAGCCAGGCGUGAAAGCCCGGGGCCCAACCCAGGGACUGCUCUUGGAACUGCGUGGCUGGAGUGCAGGAGGGGCAGGCGGACUUCCUGGUGUAGCCGUGAAUUGCGUAGAUAUCAGGAGGAACACCGGUGGCGAAGGCGGCCUGCUGGACUGCAACUGACGUUGAGGCCCGACAGCGUGGGGAGCAAACAGGAUUAGAUACCCGAGUAGUC
rnacentral:rRNA from 1 species